rnacentral:rRNA from 1 species
ACACUGGAAAUUUUAUUUCUAGUGAUUGGAAUGAUGGGAAUUUAAACCCCUUUCAGAGUAACAAUUGGAGGGCAAGUCUGGUGCCAGCAGCCGCGGUAAUUCCAGCUCCAAUAGCGUAUAUUAAAGUUGUUGCAGUUAAAAAGCUCGUAGUUGGAUGUCUGCUGGAAGCAAUCAGUCCGCCCUAUUUGUAGGGUGUGCACUUGAUGAAUUCUGGCAUUUUUGUCCCAAUGAUGUAACGGGGCGGUGGUAUUCGGUGAAAGCCGAGUAUCCUGUUUUCCGAUUAUUGGGAUACUGUUACUUUGAGAAAAUUAGAGUGUUUGAAGCAGGCUAAUUGCCUUGAAUACUGCAGCAUGGAAUAACAAUAUAGGAUUUCGGUUCUAUUUUGUUGGUUUCUAGGACUGAAAUAAUGAUUAAUAGGGACAGUUGGGGGCAUUCGUAUUUAACUGUCAGAGGUGAAAUUCUUAGAUUUGUUAAAGACGAACUACUGCGAAAGCAUUUGCCAAAGAUGUUUUCAUUAAUCAAGAACGAAAGUUAGGGGCUCGAAGACGAUCAGAUACCGUCGUAGUCUUAACCAUAAACUAUGCCGACUAGAGAUAGGAAAAUGUCAUUUUGCUGACUUCUCCUGCAC